UACGUAGGGUGCGAGCGUUAAUCGGAAUUACUGGGCGUAAAGCGUGCGCAGGCGGUUUUGUAAGCCAGAUGUGAAAUCCCCGGGCUUAACCUGGGAAUGGCAUUUGGGACUGCAAGGCUGGAGUGUGGCAGAGGAGACUGGAAUUCCUGGUGUAGCGGUGAAAUGCGCAGAUAUCAGGAGGAACACCGAUGGCGAAGGCAGCUCGCUGGGACGGUACUGACGCUGAGGCGCGAAAGCGUGGGGAGCAAACAGG
rnacentral:rRNA from 1 species